rnacentral:rRNA from 1 species
AUGCUUGAUGAGAACAACAUCCUCGCAAAAUCUUUCAGAAUGGGAAGAGAUAUAUUCAAAGAAGAAGACUACCACGAUUACACACUUCGGAUACUUGGGAGAAGGAAUGGAACACACAACCUUCCAUCUGCAUCGGAAGUUGCCGCAUUGGUUGUAAGAGAUCCAACUAGAGAGAGCGAAGGACGAGACAUCGUUCUCGAGUACAAAAAUAUGGAACCUCAUAGAAUAUCGGAAAUCCAUCCAAAAUUCAUGUCAAUGCAAUACCCGAUGUUGUUUCCAUACGGAGAAGACGACUUCAAGCUUGAAAUACCUUACAAGCAAAGAAAAGAAGGUGACAAAAGCAGGAAAUAUGUAACUAUGCUGGACUACUACGCAUACUACCUACAGCAAAGACCUAACCAAGGAAUGUCGCUGCUAACGUCUAGACAUCUGUGGCUACAAUUUUGGGUAGAUGUUUACACAUGCAUUGAGCAAAACAGACUAAACUGGAUCAGGAAUAAUCAAGGGAAGCUAUGA